rnacentral:rRNA from 1 species
GACGAACGCUGGCGGCGUGCCUAAUACAUGCAAGUUGAGCGCUGAAGGUUGGUACUUGUACCAACUGGAUGAGCAGCGAACGGGUGAGUAACGCGUGGGGAAUCUGCCUUUGAGCGGGGGACAACAUUUGGAAACGAAUGCUAAUACCGCAUAAAAACUUUAAACACAAGUUUUAAGUUUGAAAGAUGCAAUUGCAUCACUCAAAGAUGAUCCCGCGUUGUAUUAGCUAGUUGGUGAGGUAAAGGCUCACCAAGGCGAUGAUACAUAGCCGACCUGAGAGGGUGAUCGGCCCCAUUGGGACUGCGACACGGCCCAAACUCCUACGGGAGGCAGCAGUAGGGAAUCUUCGGCAAUGGACGAAAGUCUGACCGAGCAACGCCGCGUGAGUGAAGAAGGUUUUCGGAUCGUAAAACUCUGUUGGUAGAGAAGAACGUUGGUGAGAGUGGAAAGCUCAUCAAGUGACGGUAACUACCCAGAAAGGGACGGCUAACUACGUG